GACGAACGCUGGCGGCGUGCUUAACACAUGCAAGUCGAACGGAAAGGCCCUGCUUUUGUGGGGUGCUCGAGUGGCGAACGGGUGAGUAACACGUGAGUAACCUGCCCUUGACUUGGGGAUAACUUCAGGAAACUGGGGCUAAUACCGGAUAGGAGCUCCUGCUGCAUGGUGGGGGUUGGAAAGUUUCGGCGGUUGGGGAUGGACUCGCGGCUUCUCAGCUUGUGGGUGGGGUAGUGGCUUACCAGGGCUUUGACGGGUAGCCGGCCUGAGAGGGUGACCGGCCACAUUGGGACUGAGAUACGGCCCAGACGCCUACGGGAGGCAGCAGUGGGGAAUAUUGCACAAUGGGCGGAAGCCUGAUGCAGCAACGCCGCGUGCGGGAUGACGGCCUUCGGGUUGUAAACCGCUUUCGCCUGUGACGAAGCGUGAGUGACGGUAAUGGGUAAAGAAGCACCGGCUAACUACGUG
rnacentral:rRNA from 1 species